rnacentral:lncRNA from 1 species
CCCCGGCACCUGCCGAGUCGUCCCCGCGUUAGCGGAGUCGACUCUCUCAGUAGCGGAGUCGACUCUCUCAGUGGCGGCAGAAAGGCGUUUUUCAAGGGAUAUGCGCGAGACGUCCCCGCUGUACGCGGAGUCGUCCCCGCAAGUAAAAAGGUGACUUCCCGAGUCGUCCCCAAGAUGGCGGAGUCGACUCUCUCAGGGAAUUCCAGAGGACAUGAUUUUCGGAGAUAAAGAAGCGGAGUCGUCCCCAAAGCAGCGGAGUCGUCCCCACUCAAAAAGCGCUAACACGCCGAGACGUCCCCGUAAAGUGCCGAGUCGACCCCAGAUAAAGUAAAAAGUGAAAUCCUGUAGGCGAGACGUCUCUCGUUGUAGCGGAGACGUCCCCGGAGCGCCUGGGACGCGACUGACAACUUUUUCAGGUAGAUUUGAAUUUCAAACGGUCAUAUCUUUGUGUCUAACGGCUAUAUUUGCUUUUUGGGCUAUAAAAGGGACCUCUUAAGUGCUUCUCAAUAACUUC